CCAGUCCCCGCACAAUGCCAAAUUCCCCGAGCUGUGGAAGUAGACUUCUUUACCUUCAUUCCACCGCAGGGGUGACAACAGAGCCACACACAGAGCACCAGAUCAGACCUACAGCGGUCAAGCAUCAGCAGCCGCUCCGGUGAGCCGCUCUGUUCGGGAGAUUUAUCACACGCAACCUGACGAGAUGAGCAGCACAAAGAAGAUGGAGGAUGAGGCGGUGCUGGACCGGGGGGCGUCCUUACUCAAGCACAUCUGUGAUGAGGAGGAGGUAGAGGGUAA